AGAUUGAACGCUGGCGGCAGGCCUAACACAUGCAAGUCAAGCGGCAGCACGGGUACUUGUACCUGGUGGCGAGCGGCGGACGGGUGAGUAAUGCCUAGGAAUCUGCCUGGUAGUGGGGGAUAACGCUCGGAAACGGACGCUAAUACCGCAUACGUCCUACGGGAGAAAGCAGGGGACCUUCGGGCCUUGCGCUAUCAGAUGAGCCUAGGUCGGAUUAGCUAGUUGGUGAGGUAAUGGCUCACCAAGGCGACGAUCCGUAACUGGUCUGAGAGGAUGAUCAGUCACACUGGAACUGAGACACGGUCCAGACUCCUACGGGAGCAGCAGUGGGGAAUA
rnacentral:rRNA from 1 species